GAAAGGUUGUCAUGGCAACUUGUGACAAACAUGCACACGUAUUAAUGACACUAAUGUGUGAAUUUGUAUAUUUUUAAUUUCUUUAACAAGUACUACCAAAUGUGAGACUUUAAUUGUUUCAAACUAAAAAGAAACGAAUUUAUUGGUAUCUUGUCUAGUAUAGCUAAAUGGUUGUAAAAGCAUAUGCAUCUGUCGAUAGAAAUUUGUAUCAAACAAUACAAAUUUAUUGUGUGCAUACUACAUAGGCAGUAGAUUUACUGAACCUAUUCUAUUUUGUUUGCUGCUUAGGAAUGUCCAGCGGGAAGAUGAGAGGAGAGAUGAAGAAAAAAUGGACCUCCUAUUCUGCUCGAGGCUUGUCUUUGCGGUUCCAGUGGUGCCACGGCACGCUCCUCUGUGGCUGCUGCACCUCUACCUCAACCAGGAAAGUGGUGCUGCAGCUCUGAUGGCUCUGGCCUUGGUUGCAGUUGUCGUUGGCCGUCGCAAAGGUUGUUCAGGGCUCACAGGUUUCAGACUAGCUGGAAAAUUUAACACUCAAAGGUGUGAGUGAAUGCUUUAUUCUCUGCAUUGCGUGAUGUUUUGGUUUGUGUGGUAACUCGGGAUCUCAUCACUGGAUCAGUAUAUCUAGUUGGCACCGAUAACUAGAUGCACCUCCACUCAACGAGCUGCUGCUCGAUCCCCUAUACCAGCCUAGUUGCAGGACGCCUCAAGUUCCAUAUGCUCCAUCAGUUGAACAAGUGGACAAGAUUCUGGCUCUGUGCUUGGCGCAAAUUCUUCAGUUCUACCGUGAGGUCAACGAGACGAGUAGAGCAUGGAGAAGCAAAUAUUAAA